rnacentral:misc_RNA from 1 species
GAGUCUUUUGGCAGCUCACUUUUCUCUCCACCAGUCUCAGCCUCGUCCUUCUCAGCAAUAACUUCCUCAUUUGAACCUUGAGUUACAUCACCAACAGCAUUUGAUGCUUCCUCAACUGCUGAUGGGAUCACCAUAGUUUCUGAAGGAGCAACAGAUUGACCUUCAGUACCCUCAUGUGAAGAAUCAGAACCUUUGGGUUUCUUUACCACAGGUGCUCCUGCAUCAGAAUUGGUCUCCCCUUGAUCAAGGGGCUGUUCACUCAACUCAGAAGCAGAUGAAGCUAGGCGUUUGCGAGCUGAUGGUUGUGACAAUGAGGUAAGAUUGCGCUGAGUUUCAGAUUCAUGAGACGAAGCAACCUUCCCCUGUGUGUUGGAUCCAUCCACAUCUGACAUCUCUACAUCACCCUGAGGCUCAUCAGGUUUAACAAGCCGGGGCCUUACCAAUUUCCUACCUGUUUUUCGAGUUUCAAUAUUGGUUUUGGAUACUGGAAUUCGCCGCUCCUUGUCGUCUGCUGCCUUAGCGGCUAUGGAACUUGUUAUUGGGCCCACUGAAGAACUUAUGGCAGAGUGAGAAGAAACAGACUGACCUGCAAAAA